GUAAGACAGCACAGAACAGUUUCAGGACUCAACUGAUUCUGUUAGACACUGUAGUUCAACACAGUUGAUAGACUGCUAUAGACUUAACCAGUUCAACUGAAAAAUGUUUACAGAAGUUCAUAAUUACCUUUUGGAAGUAGGGGUGUUGGUGAUGGUGUGGGAGUAAUUAAUAUCUCAGGUAGGAAAGGCAUUUAAACUUGAACUUACUUUUUUUUUUUAAUUUUUUUUUUUUUUAAGAUGGAAUCUUGCUCUUGUGGCCCAGGCUGGAGUGGAGUGCAGUGGUGCGAUCUCGGCUCACUGCGACCUCUGCCUCCCAGGUGGUUCUCCUGCCUCAGCCUCCGAAGUAGCUGGGAUCACAGGCAUGCACCACCACACCUGGCUAAUUUUUGUAUUUUUAGUGGAGACAGGGUUUCACCACAUUGGC
rnacentral:lncRNA from 1 species